GAUGAACGCUGGCGGCGUGCCUAAUACAUGCAAGUCGAGCGGACAGACGAGGAGCUUGCUCCUCUGACGUUAGCGGCGGACGGGUGAGUAACACGUGGAUAACCUACCUAUAAGACUGGGAUAACUUCGGGAAACCGGAGCUAAUACCGGAUAAUAUAUUGAACCGCAUGGUUCAAUAGUGAAAGACGGUUUUGCUGUCACUUAUAGAUGGAUCCGCGCCGCAUUAGCUAGUUGGUAAGGUAACGGCUUACCAAGGCAACGAUGCGUAGCCGACCUGAGAGGGUGAUCGGCCACACUGGAACUGAGACACGGUCCAGACUCCUACGGGAGGCAGCAGUAGGGAAUCUUCCGCAAUGGGCGAAAGCCUGACGGAGCAACGCCGCGUGAGUGAUGAAGGUCUUCGGAUCGUAAAACUCUGUUAUUAGGGAAGAACAAAUGUGUAAGUAACUAUGCACGUCUUGACAGUACCUAAUCAGAAAGCCACGGCUAACUACGUG
rnacentral:rRNA from 1 species